UGGGGAAUCUUGGACAAUGGGGGCAACCCUGAUCCAGCCAUGCCGCGUGAGUGAAGAAGGCCCUAGGGUCGUAAAGCUCUUUCGCCUGUGAAGAUAAUGACGGUAGCAGGUAAAGAAACCCCGGCUAACUCCGUGCCAGCAGCCGCGGUAAUACGGAGGGGGUUAGCGUUGUUCGGAAUUACUGGGCGUAAAGCGCGCGUAGGCGGACUGGAAAGUUGGGGGUGAAAUCCCAGGGCUCAACCCUGGAACUGCCUUCAAACUAUCAGUCUUGAGGUCGAGAGAGGUGAGUGGAAUUCCGAGUGUAGAGGUGAAAUUCGUAGAUAUUGGGAAGAACACCGGUGGCGAAGGCGGCGACCUGGUCCGGUACUGACGCUGAGGCGCGAAAGCGUGGGGAGCAAACAGGAUUAGAUACCCCCGUAGUCC
rnacentral:rRNA from 1 species